GUGGGGAAUCUUGCGCAAUGGGCGAAAGCCUGACGCAGCCAUGCCGCGUGAAUGAUGAAGGUCUUAGGAUUGUAAAAUUCUUUCACCGGGGACGAUAAUGACGGUACCCGGAGAAGAAGCUCCGGCUAACUUCGUGCCAGCAGCCGCGGUAAUACGAAGGGGGCUAGCGUUGCUCGGAAUUACUGGGCGUAAAGGGCGCGUAGGCGGACAGCUUAGUCAGAGGUGAAAGCCCAGGGCUCAACCUUGGAAUUGCCUUUGAUACUGGCUGUCUUGAGUUUGGGAGAGGUGAGUGGAACUCCGAGUGUAGAGGUGAAAUUCGUAGAUAUUCGGAAGAACACCAGUAGCGAAGGCGACUCACUGGCCCAAUACUGACGCUGAGGCGCGAAAGCGUGGGGAGCAAACAGGAUUAGAUACCCGUGUAGUCC
rnacentral:rRNA from 1 species